ACGUCUUAGUAUAUGAUGUACUUAAAUUUUUGGUGUUUAAAGGGGUAGUUUAAAUCUACUAGACGUAU
rnacentral:tRNA from 1 species